rnacentral:rRNA from 1 species
UACGUAGGGUGCGAGCGUUAAUCGGAAUUACUGGGCGUAAAGCGUGCGCAGGCGGUUCGUGAUGUCUGGUGUGAAAGCCCCGGGCUUAACCUGGGAAUGGCGCUUGAAACUACAGGACUGGAGUAUGGCAGAGGGAGGUGGAAUUCCACGUGUAGCGGUGAAAUGCGUAGAGAUGUGGAGGAACACCGAUGGCGAAGGCAGCCUCCUGGGCCAAUACUGACGCUCAUGCACGAAAGCGUGGGGAGCAAACAGG